rnacentral:rRNA from 1 species
GAUGAACGCUGGCGGCGUGCUUAACACAUGCAAGUCGAACGGUGAAGGCGGAGCUUGCUCUGCUGGAUCAGUGGCGAACGGGUGAGUAACACGUGAGCAAUCUGCCCCUGACUCUGGGAUAAGCGCUGGAAACGGCGUCUAAUACUGGAUACGAGCUGCGAAGGCAUCUUCAGCAGCUGGAAAGAACUUCGGUCAGGGAUGAGCUCGCGGCCUAUCAGCUUGUUGGUGAGGUAACGGCUCACCAAGGCGUCGACGGGUAGCCGGCCUGAGAGGGUGACCGGCAACACUGGGACUGAGACACGGCCCAGACUCCUACGGGAGGCAGCAGUGGGGAAUAUUGCACAAUGGGCGAAAGCCUGAUGCAGCAACGCCGCGUGAGGGACGACGGCCUUCGGGUUGUAAACCGCUUUUAGCAGGGAAGAAGCGAAAGUGACGGUACCGGCAGAAAAAGCGCCGGCUAACUACGUG